CUCUGGGAUAGCUCCGGGAAACCGGGAUUAAUACCAGAUACAACCACUUUAGACAUCUGUUGUGGUGGAAAGAAUUUUGGCUAGGGAUGGACUCGCGGCCUAUCAGCUUGUUGGUGAGGUAACGGCCCAUCAAGGCGACGACGGGUAGCCGGCCUGAGAGGGCGACCGGCCACACUGGGACUGAGACACGGCCCAGACUCCUACGGGAGGCAGCAGUGGGGAAUAUUGCGCAAUGGGCGAAAGCCUGACGCAGCGACGCCGCGUGGGGGAUGAAGGCCUUCGGGUUGUAAACCCCUUUCAGCAGGGACGAAGCGAAAGUGACGGUACCUGCAGAAGAAGCGCCGGCUAACUACGUGCCAGCAGCCGCGGUAACACGUAGGGCGCAAGCGUUGUCCGGAAUUAUUGGGCGUAAAGAGCUCGUAGGCGGUCUGUUGCGUCCGCUGUGAAAACUCGGGGCUUAACCCCGAGCUUGCAGUGGAUACGGGCAGACUAGAGGUAGGUAGGGGAGAAUGGAAUUCCCGGUGUAGCGGUGAAAUGCGCAGAUAUCGGGAGGAACACCGGUGGCGAAGGCGGAUCUCUGGGCCUUACCUGACGCUGAGGAGCGAAAGCGUGGGGAGCGAACAGGAUUAGAUACCCUGGUAGUCCACGCCGUAAACGUUGGGCGCUAGGUGUGGGAUCCUUCCACGGAUUCCGUGCCGCAGCUAACGCAUUAAGCAGCCCG
rnacentral:rRNA from 1 species